rnacentral:lncRNA from 1 species
AUUUUUGCCAUGGCCUCUAACGCUGAUUUUAUCGUGGGAGGACAAUAUCAACUACUAGAAUUGGAAUGUCAUCCGUCUUCGAGCCACCAUGCCUCUUCUUCAAUUUGACAAGAGAAGAAUUAGAAACUUGGUGAAUUUACUAACAUCUUGACUGGAGAUGAAGC